rnacentral:rRNA from 1 species
GACGAACGCUGGCGGCGUGCUUAACACAUGCAAGUCGAACGGGUCUGCCCUGUUUUUUGCGGGGUGGGUCAGUGGCGAACGGGUGAGUAACACGUGAGUAACCUGCCCCUCACUUCUGGAUAACCGCUUGAAAGGGUGGCUAAUACGGGGUGUUCUGGCUGUGCCGCAUGGUGUGGCUGGGAAAGAUUCACUUUUGUGGUGUUUUGGUGGGGGAUGGGCUCGCGGCCUAUCAGCUUGUUGGUGGGGUGAUGGCCUGCCAAGGCUUUGACGGGUAGCCGGCCUGAGAGGGUGGGCGGUCACACUGGGACUGAGAUACGGCCCAGACUCCUGCGGGAGGCAGCAGUGGGGGGUAUUGCACAAUGGGCGGAAGCCUGAUGCAGCGACGUCGCGUGAGGGAUGGGGGCCUUCGGGUUGUGAACCUCUUUCGCCGGUGAAGAAGGUCCUGCUCUUUGUGGUGGGGUUGACGGUAGCCGGGUUAUGAAGCGCCGGCUAACUACGUG